CCACGGCUGGAACUGUUGAAACAUUCCAAGAGAUAAAAACAAAGACCUCCUCCUCCUGUCCUCCAUCCUACUGAGGCUGCCUGACCAACUUUAUAAAUGUUCCUUCACAAAUGAUGAAGUUGCAUUGUGAUAAGCUGAAAGCAUUGGGAGAUGAAGACUUAGUUAACACAUGUGACCUACUGAACAUGGUAGCUCACUAAUGCAGUAUGCCACUGCAGUAUGUUUCUGCUGGAGAGAGCUGUGCCAACCGGGUGUUCCUAGCACUGUAGGAGAGCACCACACAGCAUAUUACCAGUCCAGAAAAAGAGCAAAACUCAAGUGAUGGAGAUGAAAUCUAGGAUCUACUGCAUGUUGGGCAAGGACUACAUCAUUGGAUUGUUCCUUUCCACUACCAUAUGGUUUGUUAUUUUUAAACUCAGUAUAGACUUUGAAAGACCAUUUUUCCACAUACAUGUGUACAACUCAUGUGAACUUCUGUGGUUUUUUCAUUGCCAUGUUAAUGAACAUUUAGGUUG